CUACCCUCUUAGCCGUUACUACUUCGGCUCGAAAGACGCGAUCCCAGAGAAAGACGACUCCUUGGCCGACAGGAUCCAGCGGUUGAAAGCCAGUUGUGGUUCGUUUGCUGUUGGUAUUCAGCUAUGCUGCUCAUGGGAUGAGGACUUGCGUCGAAGGGGUUCUUCUGGUCGAAUUGUUUCAACACCCUCAUGUUUUAUUGUUGCAAGUGAAAAACUCAUUCUUUAAGCUUCCUGGAGGCCGUCUGAGACCUGGUGAAUCAGGUUAGUGCUAAUUAUUUGGGACUUUAUAUUCUAUCACAAUAGAUUUAUUUAGAAUGGUACAUAUUAAAUCCCAAUGCCUAAAGAGGGUAUUCUAACGCACAGCUAGUCCAUCUGUAUAAUAUUCCAUAUAUGAGUGACGAUGCAAGGGUGGGUUUCAGUGCGACGGUAAGGUUGCUAUAUUAUGACCUAGGGUUAUAGAUUCGAAGCACGAAAAUAGCCUUUCCACACGUAGGAGUAAGGCUGCAUAUAUUUUACCCUCCCUAAACCCUACAGUGGUAGGAGCGGGACACCUUUUUUUAUGGGUGAGGAUAUAGCUUAAAAGCCUUCAAUCCAUGUGAAAAGAGGAGGCAGGAGUAUGGAAGGUCAGAGAGUGUUGUCGUAAUCGCUGUGAUAUCCCUGUUUGGAUGGGGUUGGAGAGGGCCGCCACUUGCAUGUUAUAUGAGUACCUCCAAUAUGUCGUCCAUGUUUAUAUCCUAACUAUGUUUGGAUAUGUAACUGAUAUCUUAUGCAACCUUUGAAACACCCAUAAAGUUUUAAGAUACAAGUCAGUUACCGCGCCUGUGGUUCAUAUGCUGGCAUGGUGAAGUGUUUCUAUCUGAAACCUUUUGCAUAGUUUGUACAUCGUUUUGUUUUGAAGGCUGAAAACCUAGGAAGAUGCACACAAGUUUUAUCUAUUAACCACUAGCAAAGCCAGCCUUUUCAGAUGCAUUGAGAUUGAAAAAGCUUCCUCAGGAUCUUCUGCAACUACAGAAGUGAAAAUGAAGCUGCCAAUUUCAAAUUCAUGAUAAUAUUGACACUGAGGAAGAUCGAUGUGGAAUUCUUUUUAGAUAUUGAAGGAUUGAAACGCAAGCUAUCAAGAAAGCUCUCCCUUGAUGAAAGCUGCAUAAAUGAUGAGUGGCAGGUAGACGAAUGCAUAGGAAUUUGGUGGAGGUCUGAGUUCGAGACUCUACCAUUUCCAUAUUUGCCACCUAAUACACGCAGACCUAAGGAAUGCACAAAGCUUUUCUUGGUUAGGCUGCCUAGGACCCGGCAAUUUGUUGUACCGAAAAAUUUGAAGCUGCUUGCAGUUCCAUUGUGCCAGAUGCAUGAUAAUUCGAAGACAUACGGUCCUAUAAUCUCUGGAAUUCCGCACCACCUAUCGAAAUUCUCCUUCAACACCAUCCAUGAUUGAAGCAGUGCUAAUAACAUCGGUCUGUGGGUGUAUGGAGUGUAUGAGUGAAUUGCUCGUGUACAGAGGAGGAGAUACUGGGCCAAAGAUCUGCACCUCUUUUGUUGAUUGCCAUAUGUUAACUAUAGAAGACUUCAUACUGUUUUGUGGUGUAGAACAAUUGAGUACUUUAAACUGUUAUGACCGAGACUAUUGUGUUUAUAUACGUACGUAUGGUUCCA